rnacentral:rRNA from 1 species
GUAAGGAAUAUUGGACAAUGGACGCAAGUCUGAUCCAGCCAUGCCGCGUGAAGGAUUAAGGUCCUCUGGAUUGUAAACUUCUUUUAUAAGGGACGAAAAAAGGCUUUUCUAAGUCGUCUGACGGUACCUUAUGAAUAAGCACCGGCUAACUCCGUGCCAGCAGCCGCGGUAAUACGGAGGGUGCAAGCGUUAUCCGGAUUCACUGGGUUUAAAGGGUGCGUAGGCGGGCAGGUAAGUCAGCGGUGAAAUCCUAGAGCUUAACUCUAGAACUGCCAUUGAUACUAUCUGUCUUGAAUAUUGUGGAGGUAAGCGGAAUAUGUCAUGUAGCGGUGAAAUGCUUAGAUAUGACAUAGAACACCUAUUGCGAAGGCAGCUUACUACGCAUAUAUUGACGCUGAGGCACGAAAGCGUGGGGAUCAAACAGGAUUAGAAACCCGAGUAGUCC